rnacentral:rRNA from 1 species
UACGGGGGGGGCUAGCGUUAUUCGGAAUCAUUGGGCGUAAAGGGCGCGUAGGCGGCGCGGUAAGUCAAAGGUGAAAUCCCUCGGCUCAACUGAGGAACUGCCUUUGAAACUGCCGUGCUUGAGUCCGGGAGGGGGUAGCGGAAUUCCCAGUGUAGCGGUGAAAUGCGUAGAGAUCGGGAAGAACAUCGGUGGCGAAAGCGCUCUACUGGACCGCAACUGACACUCAGGGACGAAAGCUAGGGGAGCGAAUGGG